rnacentral:SRP_RNA from 1 species
AUUAUAGAGCCACAGAACAAUAACCUGGUAACCUGGUCAGGGCUUAACAGCAGCAGCCACAUCUGGAAGUGUUGUGUCUGUGGUUUUUUUAUUUUUU